CUAACUUUUUAAAUCUAAAGCAGGGGUGGCCAACCUGAGCUUGAGAAGGAGUCAGAAUUUACCAGUGUACAUUGCCAAAGAGCCACAGUAAUAUGUCUGCAGCCCACCAUCAGCUCCCCCGCACCCCGCUCCCAGUGUCUUCCGCCCACCGGCAGCC